rnacentral:rRNA from 1 species
AUGCAAGUCGAACGGAAUAAUGACUUCGGUUGUUAUUUAGUGGCGGAAGGGUUAGUAAUACAUAGAUAAUCUGUCCUCAACUUGGGAAUAACGGUUGGAAACGACCGCUAAUACCGAAUGUAGUAUGUUUAGGCAUCUAAAACAUAUUAAAGAAGGGGAUCUUCGGACCUUUCGGUUAAGGGAGAGUCUAUGGGAUAUCAGCUUGUUGGUGGGGUAAUGGCCUACCAAGGCUUUGACGUCUAGGCGGAUUGA